rnacentral:lncRNA from 1 species
CAAUACUUGCAAUCAAAAUUGGAAAAAUAUGAUGUUUUGAACCAGAAUUCUCAUUUGAUAUUUGCCUUGGAGUUGAAGCAGGGGAAUUGGCUGGGGCAUUGCGUGAUUGGGGUGGUUCAGAGAUAGAUACUGAUGGAUCUACAGGAGGUUGUAAAGCUGGAGCUGGUGCUAAUUCAGGUGAAGGUGAAGGUGAAGGUGAAGGUGCAGGAGUCAAAAAGAUACUGGAGGGGGAUUCUGAAGGAGACAACGAUGAAGGUGAAGGUGACAUUGAAGGUGAAAAUGAGGAUUCUGAUGGCGAAGGUGAUGGUGACAGUUGGGAAAUUCUUUCAUUGGCUGUCUUAGAGGGUACAAGCACCUGCUGCAGCCGCCUCCCAUAAGCUAUAUCUCCUGGCUGGGCA